AUUGAACGCUGGCGGCAGGCCUAACACAUGCAAGUCGAACGGUAGCACAGAGAGCUUGCUCUUGGGUGACGAGUGGCGGACGGGUGAGUAAUGUCUGGGAAACUGCCCGAUGGAGGGGGAUAACUACUGGAAACGGUAGCUAAUACCGCAUAACGUCUUCGGACCAAAGUGGGGGACCUUCGGGCCUCACACCAUCGGAUGUGCCCAGAUGGGAUUAGCUAGUAGGUGGGGUAAAGGCUCACCUAGGCGACGAUCCCUAGCUGGUCUGAGAGGAUGACCAGCCACACUGGAACUGAGACACGAUCCAGACUCCUACGGGAGGCAGCAGUGGGGGAUAUUGCACAAUGGGCGCAAGCCUGAUGCAGCCAUGCCGCGUGUAUGAAGAAGGCCUCCGGGUUGUAAAGUACUUUCAGCGGGGAGGAAGGCGUUAAGGUUAAUAACCUUGGCGAUUGACGUUACCCGCAGAAGAAGCACCGGCUAACUCCGUGCCAGCCGCCGCAGUAA
rnacentral:rRNA from 1 species